GACGAACGCUGGCGGCGUGCUUAACACAUGCAAGUCGAACGCUGAAGCUCAGCUUUUGUUGGGUGGAUGAGUGGCGAACGGGUGAGUAACACGUGAGUAACCUGCCCCCUUCUUUGGGAUAACGCCCGGAAACGGGUGCUAAUACUGGAUAUUCACUGGUCUUCGCAUGGGGGUUGGUGGAAAGGGUUUUUCUGGUGGGGGAUGGGCUCGCGGCCUAUCAGCUUGUUGGUGGGGUGAUGGCCUACCAAGGCUUUGACGGGUAGCCGGCCUCAGGUGGUGACCGGUCACAUUGGGACUGAGAUACGGCCCAGACUCCUACGGGAGGCAGCAGUGGGGAAUAUUGCACAAUGGGCGCAAGCCUGAUGCAGCGACGCCGCGUGAGGGAUGGAGGCCUUCGGGUUGUGAACCUCUUUCGCUCAUGGUCAAGCCGCAACAAUGGUUGUGGUGAGGGUAGUGGGUAAAGAAGCGCCGGCUAACUACGUG
rnacentral:rRNA from 1 species